rnacentral:rRNA from 1 species
AUUGAACGCUGGCGGCAUGCCUUACACAUGCAAGUCGAACGGUCACACGUGUUCGUACCCUCACGAACGUCGGACGGGGGCGUAAUACAUCCAAACGUACCCCCUCGUUGUGGGUAACGGAUCAAAAGCUUAGCUCAUACCUCAUACGAUCUAAUAUUUAGAACGGCGGGUCUUCAUACCGAGAGCCGACUUUGCUGCCGCUGGCAGAUUAGGUAGCUGGGGAGAUAAAAGCUUACCAAGGCGACGCUCUGUAACUGGUCUGAGAGUAUGAUCAGCCACACUGGAACUGAGACACGGUCCAGACUCCUACGGGAGGCAGCAGUGGGGAAUUUUGGACAAUGGGCGAAAGCCUGAUGCAGCAAUGCCGCGUGAAGGAUGAAGGUCUUCGGAUUGUAAACUGCUUUUGUAAGGAAAGAAAAGCUUUGUACGAAUAAAGAGGGGUCAUGACGGUACCUUAAGAAUAAGCAACGGCUAACUACGUG